GACGAACGCUGGCGGCGUGCCUAAUACAUGCAAGUAGAACGCUGAAGGAGGAGCUUGCUUCUCUGGAUGAGUUGCGAACGGGUGAGUAACGCGUAGGUAACCUGCCUGGUAGCGGGGGAUAACUAUUGGAAACGAUAGCUAAUACCGCAUAAGAGUAGAUGUUGCAUGACAUUUGCUUAAAAGGUGCAAUUGCAUCACUACCAGAUGGACCUGCGUUGUAUUAGCUAGUUGGUGGGGUAACGGCUUACCAAGGCGACGAUACAUAGCCGACCUGAGAGGGUGAUCGGCCACACUGGGACUGGGACACGGCCCAGACUCCUACGGGAGGCAGCAGUAGGGAAUCUUCGGCAAUGGACGGAAGUCUGACCGAGCAACGCCGCGUGAGUGAAGAAGGUUUUCGGAUCGUAAAGCUCUGUUGUAAGAGAAGAACGAGUGUGAGAGUGGAAAGUUCACACUGUGACGGUAUCUUACCAGAAAGGGACGGCUAACUACGUG
rnacentral:rRNA from 1 species